CCUACGGGGUGCUGCAGUAGGGAAUCUUCCACAAUGGACGAAAGUCUGAUGGAGCAACGCCGCGUGAGUGAAGAAGGGUUUUGGCUCGUAAACUUCUAUUAACAGGGACGAAAGAAAUGACGGUACCUGAAUAAGAAGCCCCGGCUAACUACGUGCCAGCAGCCGCGGUAAUACGUAGGGGGCAAGCGUUAUCCGGAAUUACUGGGUGUAAAGGGUGAGUAGGCGGCAUGGUAAGCCAGAUGUGAAAGCCUUGGGCUUAACCCGAGGAUUGCAUUUGGAACUAUCAAGCUAGAGUACAGGAGAGGAAAGCGGAAUUCCUAGUGUAGCGGUGAAAUGCGUAGAUAUUAGGAAGAACACCAGUGGCGAAGGCGGCUUUCUGGACUGAAACUGACGCUGAGGCACGAAAGCGUGGGGAGCGAACAGGAUUAGAUACCCUUGUAGUC
rnacentral:rRNA from 1 species